rnacentral:lncRNA from 1 species
UGACAGUUUUCGGUAACAUAAUAGUGCAUGCAAAUCUCUAUAAGAAUGCCAAAUAAGGAAAAGACCAUUGAUUUUUAGCUGUUUCAUUAACAAAUCAUUUAAUCUCUACUUAACACGCUGCCCAACAUUUUAUUGUCUGUCAGAUGCGCUUCUCUCUUUGUUUGAAAUUUGAAUCCUUCCACCAUUGAAAGUUGCGACAAAUGUAGGAACUCUUUUUAGCAGCAAAAGUCAAAUCCCAUGUCAUUGGCUCAUAUAUUUGCAAGCAAGUGCACCUGAGCAUGUCUUUGGUUGCA